rnacentral:lncRNA from 1 species
UGCAACCCUAAUGCACAGAUAGCUGACAUCAACUUCCGUCAGGCAGCUCCUGGAGAUCGAACCUUUCGAUUGUAACUGGGACAAUUUGCAUAGUGAUUCCCUUUCAGAGCUUUCCCGGGUCCAUAACUAGCCCAGGCAGCUAUUCAAAUGCAAGUUGCAUCCCCCAAAUGCAAGGCUGGCCUGACCAAAAAGAGCCACACGGCGCCGGGAGAGGCGAGACUCGCGCCACGGUUCUCAUCCUUCUCUUUUCUCCUUCCUUCUCCCUUUCUCUUCUCCGGUUCCUGAUUUAGCUGGGAGCUAUUUAUUUAUGACUACAAAUGUGUGUGCGCGAGCCAGAGAGAGAGGGAGGGAACUGAUCUUUGCUUGGACUUAAAGAUGGAGACGAAGGAGCCGGAGGGAAUUGGGGUCUGUGUGUCUGGCUCAGACCCUAGGCGCUGAGGGGGGCCGCUGGGCAUCAAGCCCAAGGUCUUUCUUCCCGGCGCCCCGUAUUCCGCGACCUGGCAGGAAUCCGUGGGCCAAAGAGCGCCCCGGCUGAUCCGCCUGCCCCGGGCCGGGCUACAAGGAAAGUCUUGGAGCAGGGGGCCGUCCCGUCCCUGUCUUUAAAAUGAGCGCAAUAAAAGGGGCAAAUCCUCGAACGCGAACCUGAUCGCAUGUCACAGAAGCAACUUGCCAUGAAAUCCGCUAAUGCGCCGCGACUCGCCCACCAGGGAAGAGAAGAAAUGGAGCCCUUGCAGUUAAAUUAUUACUGGCUUCUACAGGGUUAAUUUGAUGCAAAUAAUCUACUCUCCUGUCAACAUUGAAGGAAAAGGUAGUGGCCUGUGGAACAACAGGAAGAGCCAGUCAGGUAGUGACAAAACUCUGCCUCUGGGUUCUGAAGAAGGUAUCGGAAGGCUCUGAACUUAGCUUUGGGUUUGUUGCACCGCAUUCCCUCUCUUAAAACAGUAACUCAAGAUGGCCGGGCACUUCCUCAGCAAAGCAUUGGAGGCCUUCAAGCCGGGCAUGGCGCACUGCUGUCCUGCCUACAUACAGAUACCGGCCCACACGUGUUAGGCCUGAAAAAGACACCGGACCGGGAGGAAAACUCAGGAACAGCUAUUCAGGAGCGCCUGGAGACUCUCCUGCCUGGACCCUUGGACCUUGGGAGCGGGCCGGCCCAGAGAACCUCAGAGAAGACAGUUCCCCUCCCCCUCUACUCCCCACCUUCCCCCUCCCCCCUCACAACAGCUGUGCUUUUGGGGCGCUCGGCUCCUGCCAGUCCACAGGUCCUACGUCCCUGCCCAGCAUUGGCGCGUUAG